AAACUAUUGAUAUUCCUGGAAGUGUCACCUCCUUGUCGAAGUUCAAAUUCACCGCCACCGCUGUACAUCCGGCGAAUAUCAAGAAAUACGUGCCUACCACCUCAGCUAUCAACUUUUGAAUGAAAGGUACAGAGAUGCUUAAGAUUGAAUCUUCCUUGGUUUUGGAAGCACAAGGUGGACGGUCAUUACAAGGUGGAGGAGAAUAACAAGGAUUAUCACCCUCAACAUCCAACACAACCCCAUGCUUACCAUUAGUUCCUGAGAUCUCAUCAGCCAUGACUAGUUCUUUUGUGACUAAAAUAGACCACACACGAUCUGAUAAUAAGAAAGAGAGCAAAUAAGAGAGAAAAAGAUAUGUAUUGCUUAGUUAGAUAACUUUGUA
rnacentral:misc_RNA from 1 species